rnacentral:rRNA from 1 species
UACGAAGGGGGCUAGCGUUGCUCGGAAUCACUGGGCGUAAAGGGUGCGUAGGCGGGUCUUUAAGUCAGAGGUGAAAUCCUUGAGCUCAACUCCAGAACUGCCUUUGAUACUGAAGAUCUUGAGUUCGGGAGAGGUGAGUGGAACUGCGAGUGUAGAGGUGAAAUUCGUAGAUAUUCGCAAGAACACCAGUGGCGAAGGCGGCUCACUGGCCCGAUACUGACGCUGAGGCACGAAAGCGUGGGGAGCAAACAGG